rnacentral:rRNA from 1 species
UACGAGAAAGGGUCCUUCGGGAUCUGAGUAAAGUGGCGCACGGGUGAGUAACGCGUGGAUAAUCUAUCCUUUAGCCGGGAAUAACUUACCGAAAGGUGGGCUAAUACCCGAUAAAACUGUUUCACUCCGGUGGAGCAGUCAAAGAUAGCCUCUGUAUACAAGCCUUCACUGAAGGAUGAGUCCGCGUACCAUUAGCUAGUUGGUAGGGUAAUGGCCUACCAAGGCUACGAUGGUUAGCUGGUCUGAGAGGAUGAUCAGCCACACUGGAACUGAGAUACGGUCCAGACUCCUACGGGAGGCAGCAGUGAGGAAUCUUGCGCAAUGGGGGAAACCCUGACGCAGCAACGCCGCGUGAGUGAGGAAGGUCUUCGGAUCGUAAAGCUCUGUCAGGUGGAAAGAAGUGUAUGGGGGUUAAUAGUUCUCAUACUUGACGGUACCACCAGAGGAAGCACCGGCUAACUCCGUGCCAGCAGCCGCGGUAAUACGGGGGGUGCAAGCGUUGUUCGGAAUUAUUGGGCGUAAAGAGCGUGUAGGCGGCUGGAUAAGUCAGAUGUGAAAGCCCGGGGCUCAACCCCGGAAGUGCAUUUGAAACUGUCCUGCUUGAGUAAGGGAGAGGGAAGUGGAAUUCCUGGUGUAGAGGUGAAAUUCGUAGAUAUCAGGAGGAACACCGGUGGCGAAGGCGACUUCCUGGCCCUAUACUGACGCUGAGACGCGAGAGCGUGGGUAGCAAACAGGAUUAGAUACCCUGGUAGUCCACGCCGUAAACGAUGUUCACUAGGUGUUGGGGGGUAUUGACCCCCUCAGUGCCGGAGCUAACGCAUUAAGUGAACCGCCUGGGGAGUACGGUCGCAAGACUAAAACUCAAA